rnacentral:rRNA from 1 species
UACGUAGGGUGCGAGCGUUGUCCGGAAUUAUUGGGCGUAAAGGGCUCGUAGGCGGUUUGUCGCGUCGGGAGUGAAAACCCCAGGGCUUAACUCUGGGCUUGCUUUCGAUACGGGCAGACUAGAGGUAUGCAGGGGAGAACGGAAUUCCUGGUGUAGCGGUGAAAUGCGCAGAUAUCAGGAGGAACACCGGUGGCGAAGGCGGU